rnacentral:lncRNA from 1 species
AUGUCAGCGUGCAGGACAGCUUGCAGGAGCAGAGCUAAAGUUGUAGCAGCAUUAGCAAAUAUAGUUUCUGGUUUUGCAGUCCUUGCUCAGAUAUCCUUAGGACAGCACUGCUGGUGGACAUUUGAGUACAUAGAUUUCAAGUAUUUUUUCUGUGUCAUUAAUAGGAAGAGGUGGCAUUUGAGAAAAAGUUUAUGCCAACAAUGGCAGCAGUACAGCUCUCCCAAUGCUACAAAAAAGAAAGUUUCAUCUCCAAAGCUGUUUAAUAGAUUAUCAGCAGAGUCCCAGCUAACAGAUGCUUGGAAGUGACAGCAGCGCUGCAAAGAAUUAAGUAAAUUAUUUCCAUCUUGGAUUGGUCUUGUUCACUACAUCAUGUAGCUUUUAAGCAUUUUCCAUCCCCUUGGAUGAAUGUUUGUGUAUUGUUUACAGAACAUGAACAAAAUCUCUCUGAACUGAAAUUUCCAGCCUCAAGGCGACUUGUUAUUUUUGGAGUCAUCGUUAGGUCUUGGGCAAAGGCUUAAGGGAAAUCUUAUCCUCUGUAGUUCAGCCAAUAACACUGUAAACUUAAAGAUGUACUGUCUUUUUCUGAGCUCAAGAUUAGGCAAUGAACCAACCUUUCACUAAGCCACUUGCAUCAGUCAGAAAAUCUACUGAGUGUGGAAAAUUUUUUGUAAUCAUUUGUGUUUUUUAUUUUGACUCGUUGCUCUGGAUUGCUAAAAAUCCCUUUAAUGUGAAAGUGUGGAAUGUUCUUCUGUGAGAGGAAAGCUGCCAAAGACUGAAUCAGCCUUUUUUUUCCCGUCUUCUUUCAUUUUUCCCCUAAGAGAGGCAACAAGCUGGAAAAAUAGAACUUGGAAGUGAUGAGUUUUUAAGGACUCAUCAUUUUCAAAGAGGGAUGCCCAAGGACACUAGUGCAACUGACCCUUAGUCAGAUAGCCAGAAGGGUGAGGGCAGGGAGACAGAAAGGGAAAGGGACACAUCUGAGUGCUGCCAACAGCAGCUUCUGUCCUAGUCCUUCCCACUCAGGGCUCCUCUCCCAGUGGCACACUCUUUCUCACUUCCCAAGUGCACACUUACCUCUCCCAAAAAAGACACCAUCCUCAUGUGCUUUUUUCUGUGGGAGAAAGUGGUAGCUUGAGAUUGGGAACAGAGGAAUGUAAUUCAGGUUUCGUACCAAAAUAAAUAAACAAGCACUUAUUCA